UGGCAGUGUCCAGGGAACCAUUGCUGCCAAUAUAAAAACUUGGUAUCAAAUCAAAUUUCAAAGAAAACGAAGAGUAUGAGAAAAUCCAGAGCGGGUUAAAACAACCCAACCCAUAACAGCAGCAAUAACCCAAAAACAAAAUUUUCAUGUAUGCAAUAUCACAAGAAACCCAUUAAAUUGAACAUAAUAUGUUACAGAACAGAAGAGAAAAAUGCAGAAUUGAUCUUCUAUUCUAUUGCUCCAUAGGCAUCUAAAACCAACAAUAGGGAGAGGGAAAAAAA
rnacentral:misc_RNA from 1 species